rnacentral:rRNA from 1 species
UACGUAGGGACCAAGCGUUGUUCGGAUUUACUGGGCGUAAAGGGUGCGUAGGCGGCGCGGUAAGUCGGGUGUGAAAUCUCGGGGCUUAACUCCGAAACUGCAUUCGAUACUGCUGUGCUUGAGGACUGGAGAGGAGACUGGAAUUUACGGUGUAGCGGUGAAAUGCGUAGAUAUCGUAAGGAAGACCAGUGGCGAAGGCGGGUCUCUGGACAGUUCCUGACGCUGAGGCACGAAGGUCAGGGGAGCAAACGGG